UUGACGGGGAGCACCACAACGGGUGGAGCUUGCGGUUUUAAGUUGGAUUCAACGCCGGAAAUCUUACCGGGACCGACAGCAAUAUGAAGGCCAGGCUGAAGACUUUGCCGGAUUAGCUGAGAGGUGGUGCAUGGCCGUCGUCAGUUCGUACUGUGAAGCAUCCUGUUAAGUCAGGCAACGAGCGAGACCCACGCCCACAGUUGCCAGCGUACUCUCUGGAGUGACGGGUACACUGUGGGGACCGCCGCUGCUAAAGCGGAGGAAGGAAUGGGCAACGGUAGGUCAGUAUGCCCCGAAUAUCCCGGGCUACACGCGAGCUACAAUGGUUGGUACAAUGGGUAUCUACCCCGAAAGGGGACGGGAAUCUCCUAAAACCAAUCUUAGUUCGGAUUGAGGGCUGCAACUCGCCCUCAUGAAGCUGGAAUCCGUAGUAAUCGCGUUUCAACAGAACGCGGUGAAUACGUCCCUGCUCCUU
rnacentral:rRNA from 1 species